rnacentral:rRNA from 1 species
GAUGAACGCUGACAGAAUGCUUAACACAUGCAAGUCUACUUGAAUUUGGGUUUUUUAACUUAGAUUUGGGUGGCGGACGGGUGAGUAACGCGUAAAGAACUUGCCUCACAGCUAGGGACAACAUUUGGAAACGAAUGCUAAUACCUGAUAUUAUGAUUAUAAGGCAUCUUAGAAUUAUGAAAGCUAUAUGCGCUGUGAGAGAGCUUUGCGUCCCAUUAGCUAGUUGGAGAGGUAACGGCUCACCAAGGCGAUGAUGGGUAGCCGGCCUGAGAGGGUGAACGGCCACAAGGGGACUGAGACACGGCCCUUACUCCUACGGGAGGCAGCAGUGGGGAAUAUUGGACAAUGGACCAAGAGUCUGAUCCAGCAAUUCUGUGUGCACGAUGACGUUUUUCGGAAUGUAAAGUGCUUUCAGUUGGGAAGAAAAAAAUGACGGCACCAACAGAAGAAGUGACGGCUAAAUACGUG